AUGAACGCUGGCGGCGUGCCUAAUACAUGCCAGUCGAGCGAACAGACGAGGAGCUUGCUCCUCUGACGUUAGCGGCGGACGGGUGAGUAACACGUGGAUAACCUACCUAUAAGACUGGGAUAACUUCGGGAAACCGGAGCUAAUACCGGAUAAUAUAUUGAACCGCAUGGUUCAAUAGUGAAAGACGGUUUUGCUGUCACUUAUAGAUGGAUCCGCGCCGCAUUAGCUAGUUGGUAAGGUAACGGCUUACCAAGGCAACGAUGCGUAGCCGACCUGAGAGGGUGAUCGGCCACACUGGAACUGAGACACGGUCCAGACUCCUACGGGAGGCAGCAGUAGGGAAUCUUCCGCAAUGGGCGAAAGCCUGACGGAGCAACGCCGCAUGAGUGAUGAAGGUCUUCGGAUCGUAAAACUCUGUUAUUAGGGAAGAACAAAUGUGUAAGUAACUAUGCACGUCUUGACGGUACCUAAUCAGAAAGCCACGGCUAACUACGUG
rnacentral:rRNA from 1 species